rnacentral:rRNA from 1 species
CGGAUUGUAGUCUGCAACCCGACUACAUGAAGCUGGAAUCGCUAGUAAUCGCGAAUCAGAAUGUCGCGGUGAAUACGUUCCCGGGUCUUGUACACACCGCCCGUCACACCAUGGGAGUCGGAAAUGCCCGAAGUCAGUGACCUAACCGAAAGGGAGGAGCUGCCGAAGGUGGAGCCGGUAACUGGGGUGAAGUCGUAACAAGGUACC